CCGACGCUCUGCUGAGUUUGCUUCCUGCAUGGACAGGAACAGGAAGUCACUUGGUGCACAUGUGACUGUGAGAGAGGAGAGGAGCCUUCAGACGUGAGGAGCAGCAGCCCAGCAGGUCUAUCAGAAAGCCAUACCAUACGGGGGAGCACAGACUCAGGUGCGAGCUCGAGGGGGAGUAUCUUCACAAACUGGGUUGGAAACUUCUGACUGACAAACCCAACACCUUUCGUCUUAACGACUUCAUCAGGGUACAGGGCAGCCCAGAUGAUAGAUGCUAUGAGAUAAAUGUGGAAUGAAUGAAUGCAGGAAGCACUGCAGGUAACUGGAGGCUGGUUGAUGCAGAUGCACUCUGUGAAUGCAAAUUACUGAAGCAAAGCCAAAUGCAGACGCACCUUGUAAAUGCGGGUCACUGGAGGCAGAAUCGGAUGCAGAUGCACUUUACGGAUGCCGGUCACUGAAGGCAGAAUCAGAUGCGGGAAAUGGAAGACAGACGGAAUCCACUGCAGCCAAGAGCCAGGAGACUGUUCUCUGGAAUUUGAGUUUUUCUGGCAAUGGCCUGGACUAAUGUGCCCUACACACUCAGCGAUGUCUGCAAUUUGCACGAUGUUCGAUCUGAAUGAUGAUCGAUAUCGUCCAAAUUGACUUGCAUUGAAAAAGACUGAGAACCAACGAUGAACGACUGCGGGGCUGUGAAUCGGUCAUCGUCGGUACCUCCACACUAAAUGAUAUGAACAGUAUAUAUACAGUAUAAUAACAAUAAUAACAACAGAUAUAUACAGUAUUGUUCAUUUCUGAAUAAGAGAUGGUUUAAAUAGGGCACUUCCAGCGCCUAUUUUAUGAACAAGCGCUGUGAGUGCGGCUGCAGGAAUUUGGUUGGCAGAUGGAAUGUUGUCGGGAAAAUCCAAGAGGCAACGCCACCGCAGGAAGUGACAGGAAGGCAUAUGCUAUUCAUACAGGGCCGGUUCUAGACCUUGUGGCGCCCAAGGCGAAAGAUUCCUUUGGCGCCACCCCCCCCCCAAAGGGUUAGUGCACACCGUAAGCGCACGUCAAAAAUAGGGCGUGGCAUCAUAGGGGAAGGGCGUGACCAAAGUUAUGCACCCUGUAGUUGUGCCGCCAGUAGAGUUGUGCCCCUGUAGUUGUGCUCCCUGUAGAGUUUUGCCCCCUGUAGCUGUACCCCCAGUAGAGUUGUGCCCCCUGUAGCUGUACCCCCUGUAGAGCUGUGCCCCCUGUAGCUGUGCCCCCAAUAGAGUUGUGCCCCCUGUACCUGUACCCCCUGUAGAGUUGUGCCCCCAGUAGAGUUGUGCCCCCUGUAGCUGUGCACCUGUAGUUAUGCCCCUAGUAGCGCCGCUUACAAAAAAACUAAUAAUAAAAAAAAAAUACUCACCAGCCCAGCUCCUGCUUC